UUUGUUAAAACAUGUGCUUUGUUAUAUUUUAUCUGUGUGUAAAUCUAACGUCUAUUCAUGUUUCCUUAUCCCCGUGCAAUAUGAUUAUCAAAUGCUCACUUAAAUGUCACUAAAGUUAGGCCGGACUUUAAAAGGGUAAACUCAUGUUUUAGAUAUAAGCGAGUGAUUUCCUAAACAUCUUUAGCCCACCUUUAAUAUUUAAGUGAGUCUGUUUUACUUGCAGAUGGCACAUCAUGAGCUUGUUUGUCUCACCUUGUUCUGGUUGUUGUUAUCAUAGCGCAACCUCUGACGGUUCUUGUUCAGCUUGCUCAUCAGCAUCUUCCCUGUUCGGAAAUCAAAGGAGCUGAGGUCCAUCUGGUUACCAAGGUAACGGGCCAGCUGAGGCUUGCUCCGAAACUUCUUCCCAGAUGGACU